UUGAAAAGACUCUGAAACAAUAAU
rnacentral:sRNA from 1 species